ACGCGAGCUGGGUUCAGAACGUCGUGAGACAGUUCGGUCCCUAUCCGUCGUGGGCGUAGGAAAUUUGAGAGGAGCUGUCCUUAGUACGAGAGGACCGGGACGGACGUACCUCUAGUGUGCCAGUUGUUACGCCAGUAGCAGCGCUGGUUGGCUACGUACGGAAGGGAUAACCGCUGAAAGCAUCUAAGCGGGAAGCCUGUUCUAAGAUGAGGUUUCAUUCGAGGUACCCCACAGACUAUGGGGUUGAUAGGCCAGAGUUGGAAGCAUCGCAAGAUGUGCAGACGACUGGUACUAAUUUACC
rnacentral:rRNA from 14 species